UUCUGACCUCGAAUCAGGUGGGACUACCCGCUGAACUUAAGCAUAUCAAUAAGCGGAGGAAAAGAAACUAACAAGGAUUCCCCUAGUAACGGCGAGUGAAGUGGGAUGAGCUCAAAUUUAAAAUCUGGUAGUCUUUGGCUGCCUGAGUUGUAAUCUAGAGAAGUGUUUUCUGUGCUGGACUGUGUUCAAGUUUCCUGGAUAUGGAACAUCAUAGAGGGUGAGAAUCCCGUCCUUGACACAGAUUCCCUAGUGCUCUGUGAUGCACUCUCAACGAGUCGAGUUGUUUGGGAUUGC
rnacentral:rRNA from 1 species